rnacentral:lncRNA from 1 species
UAACUCAACAAUCAUCCACCUAUCACAAAAACCAAAUUUCCAAUACAAAAUCCAUCACAACACAAUAAUUAAUUCUCAUGAUAUUAUGACUUUCUAAAGCAUCCUAUGUACCCAUUUUUUCAAUUCUUUUCUCUCUUUUCUUUUCUUUUCUUUUUUUCUCUCUUUCUUUUCCUUUUGUUUUUUUUUUCAACGACUUGUAGGGUACUAGGAUUUUUUCAAUCAAGAUCAAAGUAUAUAAUUCAUAAACACACAUCUCCACAAACCAACUACCCCAUAACAACAAUCUCCAAGCUCCCACCCAUAGCUAAAUCAAAGAAUAAGGAAAAAUAAGGCUCAAAGGGGGUGAACUAGGAUCAUAUAAAGAUAUAGGACAAAUAAGGGAUAAAUAGGCUAGCAAAGAUGGCCUUCUAUCAUCUCAAAGUUAUUAAGCACACUAUGUGACCUCGAGGGAGAAACCAAGACAAGUUCUAGUGAGACACAAGCAUGCUCAAACAAUCACUCAAGAAUAAGAAAUAAGACUGUAAAAAUGGUGACAGUCAAAGCUCAAAUCUCACAGCUUAUUUCAUUGAUUGCAAACACAUAGAGACCAUGCUUAUCAUUCAUCAAUCAUGCUCAAUCACAACGAUAUCAACACAAAAGCAUGCAAUUUCACAAGUUUAAAGCAGAAAUCAUCAUGAACCAGUUAUCCAACAAAUCUCUACACUACUCACAUCAUCAUCAAGGUAACAUCACAAAGAAACCACCAAAGCAAGACUAAAAAACUCAACGACAAAACAAACAAAAACAAC